CCGCACAAGCGGUGGAGCAUGUGGUUUAAUUCGAUGCAACGCGAAGAACCUUACCUACUCUUGACAUCCAGCGAAUCCUUUAGAGAUAGAGGAGUGCCUUCGGGAACGCUGAGACAGGUGCUGCAUGGCUGUCGUCAGCUCGUGUUGUGAAAUGUUGGGUUAAGUCCCGCAACGAGCGCAACCCUUAUCCUUUGUUGCCAGCACGUAAUGGUGGGAACUCAAAGGAGACUGCCGGUGAUAAACCGGAGGAAGGUGGGGAUGACGUCAAGUCAU
rnacentral:rRNA from 1 species